AGGACCUCCAUGGCCUCGAGAGUCUCGUUAAACAACUCGUGGUCUUGCUGACCCUGAACCUUCAAGUGUCCUGCUACCAGGAAACGCUAACAUUUGGUAGAAGAUAUGGAAGGACCUCUCGACCUUGGCCUGGCGAACACACCUGGACUUCUCCAGGUAACGCAGGACUGUGGAUCUGCUGAAACACUGCGGUGUAAGACUCACAUACUCCCGCAGGCCAGCUGUAUGCAGGCAGUGAUGCUGCAGUCUCUGAACUCCCCGCUGAGGCACGAAGCCCCAGUCAGCCGGCACGAGGAAGACCCAUGAGGAAGAGCCGUGAGGACCUGGCUGAGCGCGCUCACUGCUCAGAACCAACUGGGUUGACCCCAGAUCAGCUCAAUUUGCAUGAGCUCUGUGACAGACUUUAUUUAAAACUCGAUGUAAACCUUAAAGCAUGUACCUAAAGCAUUCUGAAGGAGAGAUGCAGUUUAUGACUUGUAUGGUGUUUGAGUAUUCAAACUGAAUAUUUGCUGAGCAUAGGCAAUGCAACCCACUUUUGCAAAUGAAGCUGAUGGAAUAUUUUUUGAUCUUCAAGAGACAAAGUAGUUUUAUGUCCCUUUAAAAUGGUACAUGUGCACGUGCGUGUGUAUCAUUACUCACGUGCAAAGGACAGACUGGUCCUCACGUUCUGUGGAAAAACAGAGAGGCAGAGGGUGACGUGUGUCAUGGUCAUCACUGGAAGUGCACUGAGAAACUGAGCCGGAUAACCGGACAUUCUUGAGUCUUGAGUCUCUGGGAACCGGAGCCUCAGAAACCUCACAUAUGCCAGAUUCAGCUAACAGAAUUCACAGAAUAUGAUUUUUAAAAAUGCAUUUCUCAUGUUAAAAUAGAUCAUAAAUGUGUCAGAAAUGUUAAGUUUUGAUCUUUAUUUAUUUAUUGAUAAAAUGAACCUGACAUGGUCUGUUGUGCUGUUAAACUUGCCAAACGUCUCCUCCACUCUUUGUAUUUAGUAUCACAUGGUCACUGAAGCCAGACCACAUUAAUGUCUCUCUCAGCAAGAAGUGG